rnacentral:rRNA from 1 species
UACGUAGGGUGCGAGCGUUGUCCGGAAUUAUUGGGCGUAAAGAGCUUGUAGGCGGUUUGUCGCGUCUGCUGUGAAAUUCCAGGGCUUAACCCUGGGCUUGCAGUGGGUACGGGCAGACUAGAGUGUGGUAGGGGAGUGGGGAAUUCCUGGUGUAGCGGUGAAAUGCGCAGAUAUCAGGAGGAACACCGGUGGCGAAGGCGCCACUCUGGGCCGAAACUGACGCUGAGGAGCGAAAGCGUGGGUAGCAAACAGG